UACGUAGGGUGCGAGCGUUGUCCGGAAUUACUGGGCGUAAAGAGCUCGUAGGUGGUUUGUCGCGUUGUUCGUGAAAACCGGGGGCUUAACCCUCGGCGUGCGGGCGAUACGGGCAGACUUGAGUACUGCAGGGGAGACUGGAAUUCCUGGUGUAGCGGUGGAAUGCGCAGAUAUCAGGAGGAACACCGGUGGCGAAGGCGGGUCUCUGGACAGUUCCUGACACUGAGACACGAAGGCCAGGGGAGCAAACGGG
rnacentral:rRNA from 1 species